CCGAAUCGGGGUCAAGAACCCUGCACUGCUGCCAGCUUAGGCUGCACCAGAGGCCUAGCUACCAGCUUGAGAGGUUGGAGCAUGUUUAAGGCCUGGGGCCUUCUGAAGAUGCAAUUCCUGCAACUGUAGUUAAAAUGAAGCUUUUCUUGUUCAAGGACACCAUAAUGUACUUGUCACAGCUCUUGGGACAAAGGAUUUCCGCCACAUCCACUUCAGGUGCGGUGGAGUCCGAGACACUUUAAGCCUGAUGUCAUAAUCAGUAUUUACAAUUGGCCUCUUAUAUGGCCAGGACUGUCCAUUGUGCGAGUCCUGGUUUCUGUUUGGGUUGAGGUCCUAGAAGCACCUCCAGAGGGUUCAGGUCCCCACCAACUGCGUGCAUGUACCCCUGCGGCAGAGGAAAGCAUCACCGAGCAGCCAGACUGGUGCUUCUUGGGCGGGGGACAAACGCCAAGCGUCUCUAAGUGGCCUUACCAUACAAAUUGCCUCUGUCAGCCAACCAUUAUGACCGAACGUAAAUCACCGCUCAGCUGCGACACCCAAGAAAACCUGUUUGACAUUUUCCAUUAUCCAUUUUGGCGAGCAAAAUCCUAAUGAGCAUAAACGCCUAACUGGAUGACCAUGGCCCGCAGUGACAUCGACUCUUAUCAUGUUGAAGUUCAACUUGAACAAGUUCAAGUUGAACUUCAGCUCAACUAAUACCGUGAGAACCUGUUAUUUCGGAAGAUCAGGGUGGCGCUUGAAGGUUCACAAGUUAUUGACGGCGGCCUUGCACACAGCGAUUGUAACUUUGCCGGACAGGACCGGACAGCUAUUAUAGGCAGGCGGCUGGCAGAGUUUAAGGCCUGACUUCUGCUCCCGGCCGACCCGGGUUCAAAUCCGCCUGCCGGCUCCUCGGGUGUUUGAGGAGUGAUGAAAUGGGAGGUGGCCGCCCAUCAUAUGGACGAUGUAGGACGUGAUAAAAUCAACUUGCGAGCUGACGAGGAACUAAGUUGAUGUGCCGUUGAUCCGCUAGAUUUGGUUGGAUGCUGGUGGUGAGUUGCCGAACCCAACGAAUACAUUCUGAAGUCGGAUGGGGUGACGCCCCUCUAGCAGGGGAGAGCAGGGACUGCCCGGGAAAGGGGGCCGCUGGCGAAGUUAACCACCCUGUAACAACAUACUAUAGGAUAAGGAGGAGGGUCCCAGUGUGCCAACUUGGUCCAUAAACUGUGACCGCGACUCUACAUCUUGGCGCUGAGCAAUCUCCCCCAUUUGAUUAGUUCGGACCCUAAUCCAUUUUAUAUCAUGCAUUAGCGUCUCCAGACCAGAUGCUUUUGAUCUAGCUUCCAUAUUUUGAAAUGCUUGACCCAGCCAGAGACAUGGUGUGCGUGGUGUCCACGAUAGCGUGAUGCCUCACCAUUCACUCCAUUGUUGUCG
rnacentral:lncRNA from 1 species